GUGCCAGCCGCCGCGGUAAUACGAAGGGGGCUAGCGUUGCUCGGAAUCACUGGGCGUAAAGCGCACGUAGGCGGGUUCUUAAGUCAGGGGUGAAAUCCUGGAGCUCAACUCCAGAACUGCCUUUGAUACUGGGAAUCUCGAGUCCGGGAGAGGUGAGUGGAACUGCGAGUGUAGAGGUGAAAUUCGUAGAUAUUCGCAAGAACACCAGUGGCGAAGGCGGCUCACUGGCCCGGUACUGACGCUGAGGUGCGAAAGCGUGGGGAGCAAACAGGAUUAGAAACCCGGGUAGUCC
rnacentral:rRNA from 1 species